CUUUGGAGAGCUGAAGACCGUGAGGCUGCCCAAGAAGCUGGCAGGCACCGGAUCCCACCGGGGCUUUGGCUUCGUGGAUUUCCUCACCAAGCAGGAUGCCAAGAAAGCCUUCAACGCCCUGUGCCACAGCACACAUCUGUACGGCCGCAGGCUGGUCCUGGAGUGGGCAGACACAGAGGAGACAGUGGAGGCCCUGAGAAGGAAAACAGCAGAUCAUUUCCACGACUCCCCAAAGAAGAGGAAAAAAUCAGAGAUUCUGAAUGAGAUCCUGGAGCAUCUGGAAGAGGAGGAGAGCAACAAAGAUGAGGCCAUGUAGCAGCCCCCUGGCAUCUGCUGAGGUCUCUCACUGAUGGCUGGAGAGGGAGAAGCCUCGGCUGGGAGCCCAGGAGCCGGCACACUUGUUGCCGCCGCAUCGACUCGCCCUCUGAGCCCGGGGUUGCUUGAUGCCAUGCAUCCAAGCCUUGCUGUUCCCAGCUGUUUGAACAGAUCUUGGAUUUGGAAUGGAAGAGCUGCUCCUGCUUGAGGAUCUCCUCUUCAAUCUGGGCAGGGAUGGGAUUCCCCUCACCUCCAAAACCGGUGGCCCAGGAACCUGGGGGAGAGGGACGUCGCCCCCCGCU